rnacentral:tRNA from 1 species
GCUGCUGUAGCUCAGUGGUAGAGCGCACCCUUGGUAAGGGUGAGGGCGGGAGUUCAAUCCUCCCCAGCAGCACCA